UUGGAGGGCAAGUCUGGUGCCAGCAGCCGCGGUAAUUCCAGCUCCAAUAGCGUAUAUUAAAGUUGUUGCAGUUAAAAAGCUCGUAGUUGAAUUUCGGGAUCAGAUUGUCGGUCGUGCCUCGGUACGCACUGGCAUUAUUGGUUCCUACCUUCUGAAGAACCGCGAUGUCAUUAAUUUGGUGUCGUGGGGAACCAGGACUGUUACUUUGAAAAAAUUAGAGUGUUUAAAGCAGGCUUACGCUUGAAUACAUUAGCAUGGAAUAAUGUAAUAAGACGUUUGAUUCUAUUUUGUUGGUUUCUAGGAUUGACGUAAUGAUUAAUAGGGAUAGUUGGGGGCAUUAGUAUUCAAUUGUCAGAGGUGAAAUUCUUGGAUUUAUUGAAGACUAACUACUGCGAAAGCAUUUGCCAAGGAUGUUUUCAUUAAUCAAGAACGAAAGUUAGGGGAUCGAAGACGAUCAGAUACCGUCGUAGUCUUAACCAUAAACUAUGCCGACUAGGGAUCGGAUGAUGUUAAUUUUUUAAUGACUCAUUCGGCGCCUUACGGGAAACCAAAGUGUUUGGGUUC
rnacentral:rRNA from 1 species